AGGAAAGGACCUCCUCAGGAUCACAACAUGAAGCUGUGGCUUUCUGUUAAAUGAAAGGACAUGUUCACGAAGUUUAGUUUGAUUGAUAUUUUCCAUGUUUCCACUGUUUUUUCUGUUACCUAGCAGCACACACAUCUUUUAUAACUUAGGAUGUUGCUGACUUUAAUAAAAUAAUUUAAGCUUCAGGUUUU